CCAAAGUGUGGCAUCUGCCGUCAAGUACGCCACCACACACACACACACACGUAUAUAUAGCCAAAGGUCAUUGUAGCGUCACACAUACACACGCAGAGUUAUAGAAGACGCAGAUCGCCGCCUUCAAACAAGCCACCCCCUCCCCAAGCCCUUCCCCCUCUCUCUGUACCGCCAGUUUACCGUUUGCCGCUGUGUGCGCGUGUGUCUGCGCGCACGUGGGUGCGCUGGCGGGCAAGACGAGGAGGGCGUCUCACCAACGUAUUGGGCAAGAGGGGGGAGGGGAGGACUCGAAAGACUAGUAAACCGGCCCUGCCCGUGAAAGUGCACCGACCUACCGUUGGAGGCACGUCAGGGUUGGGCAACGAAGAGCGGAACCAAAACGGCCCCGGCAGCCGCCUAUCACGCACACGCACGCAGAGAAGUGUAGCACACUCGUUUGUUUUCUUUUCUCUAUCAUAGACAAGCGCCCCUCCCUCCCUUUCCCCGGCAGCAGCGGAUACGUACACACGCACGCACACACACACACACACACAAGCAACGGUGUUGCCCCCUGCUCUCAUCGGCGCCACCCCCCUUUGUGGAAGGCGAAGGAGCGACGGAAUAGCCGGAGAAGAAGCGCUCACAUACUUGUGCACCAAGUCUCAGACAGCUUCACUCCCUCCUCCUGCUCCCCUCCGCACGCAACUUACAUCCAUCAUGGGAAUCAAAGGUCUCUGGCAGGCCCUGCGCGAGUACGUCGACGAUGGCCAUCUGUCUCAGUUUCGCGGCCAGCGCGUGGCGGUCGACAUGUAUGUGUGGCUGCACCGGUGUAUACAUCGCUCUGUGCGCAUCCGCACUGAGUCGGUCGUCGCCUUCUUCGACGCCAAAUAUAGUGACACCCCGAGCAGCACAGAGCCGGACUCGUUAGACGGCGGAGGUGAUGCCGUGGCGUGUACGUCACCGUCGCCGGCGGCGUUGGCCCUCGACGACGUCCUGGUCAUCGAUGAUCAAUUUGUGACACACGUGGUGGACAAGGUGUCGGCGCUUCAGCGCUUCGGUGUUAUUCCCGUUUGCGUCUUCGAUGGCGCAGCAAUGCCGAUGAAAGGCAGCACCGACGAGGAGCGACAGCGGCGGCGUGUAGAGGCCUUUCAAGGGGCACUGAUCAAGCUGGAGAGACUCUACUGCGAUGCGUGUCGUCGUCGCGGGUACACGGCGGAGGGCCACGCAACUGGUACGCGCAUCACGCUUCCGCGAGACUCGCGCCCCUAUGAGGAGGCUGUUCAGCUGCUGGAGAAGGCUGUUGACAUCUCCACAGAGCUGGCACACGCCGUCAUCCAGGUGUUGAAGGAGGAGCGCCAUGUGGAGUGCAUCGUCGCGCCGUACGAGGCAGAUGCGCAGCUGGCCUACCUGUGCCGUGAGGGGUACGUCUCGGCAGCGGCGUCGGAGGACUCUGACUUGAUCGCGUACUACUGCCCCUGCGUCAUCUCCAAACUGGACACAUUCUCUGGCAAGUGCGAAGUGCUGCAGCCACCGCUGUGCGCACCGCACUUCUUCCGGCGUAUGGCCGCAACGAGCGCCACCGCCUCCUCCGCUGCCGCGCUGCUGCUGAGGUCCGCCACCGGCAACCGACGCGCCGCAGCCGACGAAGAUGCGGUUGACCACCGGCGUGAUUGCGUGAACAGCGCCCAUGCCCACAUGCGAGCCUCUGCGCUCCAGUCUCUGCAGGGACCACAUAACUCCGUCAACGGGGUGACUGACGCGAACCUGGGCGAGGGUACCACCAGCGCCUCCAUGACCGCAACCGCAAGCGCAUUCACCUACGAAUCCUUUCUGCUUGGCUGCAUCUUGAGUGGGUGCGACUACGUGCCCAACCUGCGCUCCAUCGGGGUCAAGAAGGCGUUCAAGCUGGUCGCGCACGCCACAUCGCUGCGGCAAUGCUUUACCACGCUGGAGCGCGAAUUCGGAUUUCCAGCGGACGAGCUGAGGCGCUAUCGGCACCGCAUCUUGGAGGCCUUUUACUGCUUCGCGCAUCACCUCGUGUACUCACCCCUCACCCAGGAGAUCGUGACGUACCAUCCCCUGCCCAGCUCCGACAGCGGCGUCACCGCUGUGCUCAAAACGCAACUGGUCGGUGAGGUGUGGUGUGCGCAGAUGGCGCAGGAGGUGUGUGUACAGUGUCUCAAGGACCCGUGCACCCUACAGCUCUAUAAAGGCGUGUAUCAGCCAUGCGUCACGCAGUACCUGCAGAGAACAAGGCGCGGGCAGACCUCACUGAGGGCGUACACCGGCUUCCACGAGAUGUCGUCGAACCGCGUUGUGGUGCACCUGGAGAAGCAGCGGCGAGACGGAUCGGCUAUAUCGCAGCACAGUCCUGACAAGGCUAGCUUCGGUGCACCGUUGAAGAAGCAGCGCGUUGCCUCCGGAUUUAUCGGCAGCAGCGCAGCACUGCCACAGUCGUCGUCCUCGUCGCAACAGCAAGCAGGGAUGAUGGUUGUUCGAUCGCGGUUCUUCAUGGUGCGCGGGCGCACCGCCGUGUGCGAGCAUUGGUCCACCAGCGAGACGGACAGCGACGGGGACGCGGAUAGCGGCGGGCCGGGGGUGCACAUGAUGGUGCCCGAGCGGGCGUCUCUCUGCCCAGCAGAGCCGAUGACCGACACCAGCACCGGUGGCCACAACCGUUUUGCUUCGUUGGCGCACCGUCCCUCAUCGCCGGCGUCGCUCUCGAUCACGAAGGCGGCGAGCGGCAGUCUCACGGAUGACUCGGCCGACGGGGUUGGGGCUGCCGCGACCAACACGUUGUGCCGCACAGCCGGCAUAACGGUAAAGGAAGGGACGCAGGAGAUGAAGGAUGAUUGCAGCCCCAGCGACGGUGCUCAGCUCGAUGAUGCCGCCGAGAACUUGUCCAACUCUUGGAUGGAUGUUGUUGGCGCAUCUGCGAGCGCAGCAUCUCUGCUCUGCACAACUGCUUCAACUCUCUCCAUGAGGGACUCAGAGAGCACGAGGGAUGAGGAAUGCGAGGUGGAGGGCGAGCACAAGGCAGCGCGCGCGCAGGUGGUAAGGGAAGAGCUGCGAAAAGUCUGCUGCAUGGCAGAGAACCCAGACGUUGAACCAAACACGUACGACGUUGCUGAAGGCACCGGCGCGACGGCGGGGGCUGUAGGAACGCAUGCCGCAUCGCGUGCGCCACCGCCACCGCCACCGCGCUGUGAUUGCCCGUUCGGCUAUUGGCAGUGCAACCGUGCGCACUCCGUUUUCGAAUCUUGCUUUCUUGGGCGGCAGUGGAGCCGCGAUGAGGGGCCGCCGCCGCCGCCGCCACCGCUGCCCCCGGAGCAGCCGACGACACGUGCGCCUGCCUCGGCUAAAAACUCUUCAACAGCGCCGCCGCAGUCUUCGCCAGUGAGUCCUCUGCAGCGAUCAGCUAUGUCGCCGAUGGGCAAAGUCGCUAGUGGAUACGUGCCGCGCGCUUUUCGACCUCCGCGCUCCACCGCGGCUGCCUCGGCUGCGCCCAUUUCCGCUUCCGGCAAUUCGCCGCCGGUACCUCUGAACGACUGCGACAUGAAGGCCAAAGCCGAAGACUUGGCCAUGCUUCGGUCACCUUCAAAGGCGGAGCUCUUGACAACCGCACCGCUCACGUCGCUACCCUCGUUGAUGUUGCCAUCGUCUCCGACGGAUGGGGACCGGGCGAGCAGUGCAGCACCACCGCCGCUGCCGUCUCACUCACCGGCAGUACGCAUGACAAUCUUCGAGAAGAUGUUGUUCAAGAAGACAUAGCGGUUUACUUGCAGGUGCCCCGACGUCAGCGACGACUUCGCAGAGCCUGCCUUUUGGGAAGGAGAGGGGCGAAGGAUGCAGACACGGCCACACCCGCACACUGCUUUAUCUUCCCUUUCACUUCGUUGAGUAUGUGCCCCACUCCCUCUCCCUGUGCAUGUCUGCGCCCAGAGCAACACAUGCACGAUAUAAGCUGUCUGUGUCUGCGUGCAGUCUCCUAAUAGAAGUACUACCGUUUUUUUUUUCGAUUGUGGGUGCCUUCCGGCGCAGUUGCUGGCUGGCGGCGGCGGCGGUGGCGUGUGG
rnacentral:misc_RNA from 1 species